rnacentral:rRNA from 1 species
AACGAACGCUGGCGGCAGGCUUAACACAUGCAAGUCGAGCGCCCCGCAAGGGGAGCGGCAGACGGGUGAGUAACGCGUGGGAAUCUACCCAUCUCUACGGAAUAACACAUGGAAACGUGUGCUAAUACCGUAUACGUCCUUCGGGAGAAAGAUUUAUCGGGGAUGGAUGAGCCCGCGUUGGAUUAGCUAGUUGGUGGGGUAAAGGCCUACCAAGGCGACGAUCCAUAGCUGGUCUGAGAGGAUGAUCAGCCACACUGGGACUGAGACACGGCCCAGACUCAUACGGGAGGCAGCAGUGGGGAAUAUUGGACAAUGGGCGCAAGCCUGAUCCAGCCAUGCCGCGUGAGUGAUGAAGGCCCUAGGGUUGUAAAGCUCUUUCACCGGUGAAGAUAAUGACGGUAACCGGAGAAGAAGCCCCGGCUAACUUCGUGCCAGCCGCCGCAGUAAUAC